AAAAAGACAAACCCUGGUUUUCGUGCCCAACGUUUGACUGUCCGUCUUAUUUAAAAAAAUUAUGAAAAAAAUUAAAAAGACAAGUCACGCACAAAGUAUUAAUCAUAUUUUAUCAUCUAACAACAAUAAAAAUACGAAUUAUAAAAAAAUUUCAUAUAAGACGGACAGUCAAAGUUGGACACGGAAACCCAGGGUUUGCCUUUUU
rnacentral:pre_miRNA from 1 species